AGUGAACGCUGGCGGUAGGCCUAACACAUGCAAGUCGAACGGCAGCACCGUAAGAGCUUGCUCUUACGGGUGGCGAGUGGCGGACGGGUGCGGAAUACAUCGGAAUCUACUUUUUCGUGGGGGCUAACGUAGGGAAACUUACGCUAAUACCGCAUACGUCCUACGGGUGAAAGCAGGGGUUCUUCGGACCUUGCGCGAUUGAAUGAGCCGAUGUCGGAUUAGCUAGUUGGCGGGGUAAGGCCCAUCAAGGCGACCAUGCGUAGCGGGUCUGAGCGGAUGAUCAGCCACACUGGAACUGAGACACGGUCCAGACUCCUACGGGAGGCAGCAGUGGGGAAUCUUGGACAAGGGGCGCAAGCCGGAUCCAGCCAAACCGGGGGAGGGAAGAAGGACUUCGGGUUGGAGAGCCCUUUUGUUGGGAAAGAAAAGCAGCAGGUUAAUACCCCGCUGUUCUGACGGUACCCAAAGAAGAAGCACCGGCUAACUUCGUG
rnacentral:rRNA from 1 species